rnacentral:lncRNA from 11 species
UGAAGGCUCACCAACACACAUGUCUGUGGGAUGUUCACUCCCUCACAUACCUUUCCCUUUCUUUCCAAGCUGCAGAGGAAGCUCUGGAGGGUUGCCUUAUACUUGUCGAGAGCUCGGAGAAGAGAGGUUCAUGGCUUUGUUGUGGCCGAACCUGAGCACAACCCCCCUGUGGCUGAAUCUGAGCAGAACCUCCAAGGCACAACCUCCGAGCACAACCUCCAAGGCACCGAAGCUGGACUUCAAAUACAGCAUACCUCCUUUUUGUCUGCUCUGUUCUGUUCUGUCUAUCCAAAAGGCAUUGAAUGUUUUCUGUGUAUGUGUACUGUGAUCUGCCCUGAGUCCCCUUGGGGAGAUAGGGCAGAAUAUAAAUAGAGUGUUGUUGUUGUUGUUGUUUUUGUUAUCAUUAUUAUUAUGCUGUCUAGGGCUGAUGGAAGAUGUAAUCCAACUAAACCUGGACUGCUUUUCUCAGCUGGCAUGUUAGCUAGGGCUGGGCAUCUGCAAUGGGACUUGGGACCAUUGUUUUGACCUCUGGAUCACAUAGACCUUUGCCACAAAUGUCAAAAAGGAACUGAAAUGGGUUAUAAGACCAAUUCUGGUGUUGCAAAUUAGGCAUUUUAAAAUUUUAAAAAGCGCAGGGAGGCUAUUUGAAAGAUCUGAUACAUCGAGAAAUAGCUACUCACUCUUUUCUUUGGAGAAUUUGGACAGAUUGAGAUUGCUUUAGGUCUAUAGUUUGGCCAAUCCUUAACUUUAAACCUAUUUCUACUCAGGCAAAUCUGUCACAAAGCAAAAGCAUUUACCUUGCUGUUACAAUAACUAACAGCAGUUAAGUGGCUACAUUUUUCCACAACAUGCUAUCAUGUAAAACUUUCUCAUGAGUACUUACAUUUUGAAUAUGGUGGUGUGUGAUUGAGAGUCAGGUUGACCUUUUAUCCAUUUGUGGUGCAUAGAGAUAGCCAGCAAUUUCUAUGUGUAACAGGUGUCAAUUGCAGUGGUGAACAAAUAUCAGUAAACCUUUUAAAAGUAUUCUGAAUGCAAGUUUCAGUAUAAUUUUGCUAGCAAAUUGGAAGUACAGCAGAGUCUCACUUAUCCAAUGU